AGAAUCUUCAUGCCCCUGAGCUCCAGUGAACAGGGGUCAUGGAGGAGGAAGUAAGGCAUACUGAAGUGGUUCUCCAAGGACAGUCCCUGGACCAGCAGCAGGAGCAGCCUCCGGAGCCUGUUAGAAAUGCAAAUUCUCCUACCCACAUAGCAGACCUACUGAGUCAGAAAUUCUGGGGCAGUGGCGGUGGGCGAGGGGUGUUGGGGGGCAGCCAGCAGUGUUUCAGUCAAACUUCCAGGUGAUUCUGGGUCACUAGAGUUGAGAACCACUGAUUAAGAACACAGACAAAACAUGAACAGACUUUGCUCCAAAGGCCAGCUCUGCCACUAAUUACUUGGCCAGGUCACUUUCACCUCUCUGAACCUCAGUUUCCUCACCUGUAAACUAAGAAUGAUAAUCAUGGCCAGGCGCCGUGACUCACACCUGUUAUCCCAGCACUUUGGGAGGCUGAAGUGGGUGGAUAACUUGAGGUCAGGCAUUCAAGACCAGCCUGACCAACAUAGUGAAAUCCCGUCUCUACUAAAAAUACCAAAAAAAAAAAAAAAAAAAAGCCAGGUAUGGCGGUGCACGCCUGUAAUCCCAGCUACUUGGGAGGCUGAGGUAGGAGAAUCGCUUGAACCCGGGAGGUGGAGGUUGCAGUGAGCUGAAGAUUGCACCGCUGCACUCCAGCCUGGGUGACAGAGCGAGACUCUGUCUCAGAAAACAAACAAACAAAAACAAUAAUCACGCCUAUCACUAAAGUGUUGUUUUGUGGAUUAAGGGAGUAAAUGCAGGUAAAGUGUUUAGCACUGCUCUUUGCAGAGCCUGGAUGAGGGUGAGGCCAGGGAGGCACAUAGGGUCAAGCGAGUGCCCCCUUAAAUUUUGCAUCCGUGAAUGGCUCCUUCACCUCACCCUAGUUCCAGCUUUGUUUCUUAUAUUCCAAAAGUGCUCAGCAAAUGAUUCCUACUAUUUUAUAUUAUUGAGGAAUCUAAAGUUUUAUUCAUUUUAGGGGCCUUGGUCAAGCAGUGUUCUGGAGUCAAAGUCUUUAGACAGUUUGGUGUAGAGGAAAGAGCACUGGCUUUGGAGUCCACAGGCCAGGACCUGGACCCUAGGAAGGCUGGCCAAGGAGAGAGACACAGAACAGAGGCUCCCCACACACCCACGUGGCUCCCUAAGCAAGGCUCCUUUCACUGGGCAGGGCACUUUCUUCCCCUUAUCUUCUUUCUGAGAGAAAACAGAGGCCACUCUCAAGUUUGAACUCUCUCUCAUCUGUGAUCCCUGUGUUUUCUCUAGUAGUAGAUGUCCAAAAAGCAUUUGACAAUCCAACAUCAAUUUCUGAUUAAAAGUCCCAGCAAAUUAAGACUAGAGGGGGAAAAAGGCCGGGAGUGGUGUCUGACGCCUGUAAUCCCAGCACUUUGGGAGGCUGAGGCGGGCAGAUCACAAGGUCAGGAGCUCGAGAACAGCCUGGCCAAUAAGGUGAAACCCAUCUCUACUAAAAAUACAAAAAUUAGCUGGGCGUGGUGGCAGGUGCCUGUAGUCUCAGCUACUCAGGAGGCUGAGGCAGAAGACCUCAGCUAACCCGCAGCUAACAUCAUAGUUAAUGCGAAAGACUGGAAGAUCUCCCCCUUCUGCAUUCGCUACUCUUCUAUGUUGUAUCAGAGGUUCUAGUUAAUUCAUUAAGGCAAGUAAAGGAAAAGGCAUCCAGAUCAGAAACUGCCUUUAUUCACAGAUGGCAUAAUUGUCAAUGGGGAAAAUCUGAUGAAAUCUACAUUAAAGCUGCAGAACUAAUAAGUGAGCUUAGCAAGGUUGCAGGAUAUCAAAUCAACAUAAAGAAAUCAAUUUUAUUACUAUACACAAGCAAAAAAAAAUUGGUAAUUGCAAUUCAAAGACAAUACCAUUUACAGUAACACAAAAAUAUGAAAUGCUUAGGCAUAAGUCUGGCCAGAGCUGUGCAAGAUUUAUACUGAAAACUACAAAACAUUGCUGAGAGAAGUUAAACAAGACCAAACUAAAUGAGGAAAUAUCCCAUUGCCUAAUUCAAAGUCAUGAAGAUUUAUACCUAUGUUUUCUUCUCAAAGCUUUAUAGUUUUAGCUCUUACAUUUGGGUCUUUGGUUCAUUUUGAGUUAAUGUUUUUAUAUGGUGUAAGUCAGGGGUCCAACUUCAUUCUUUUGCAUAUGGAUAUCCAGUUGCCCCAACACCAUUUGUUGAAGAUUCUGGUUUUUUUCCUCCAUUGAAUGAUCUUGGCACCAUUGCAGAAAAUCAACUUAUCAUAAAUGUGAGCUUGUAUUUCUGGACUCUCAAAUUCUGUGCUAUUGAUAUAAGUCUGUCUUUACACCAGUACCACACAGUCUUGAUUGCUGCAGAUUUGUAGUAAAUUUUGAAAUUGUGAAGUGUGAGUCCUCCAACUUUGUUGUUUUUCAAGAUUGUUUUGGCUAUUCUAGGUCUGGACAACUGAUUUUUUACAAAAAUAUCAAUGCAAUUUAGUAGAGAAAGCAUAGUCUUUUCCACAAAUAUAGUUCUGGAACAAGUGGAUAUCCAUAUGCCCUUGAUUUUUUACUCUCUUAUAUCUGUGACCACAGCUUUUGGCUCAACCCCUGUUUUCUGAAAUGCUUCUCUUCUUCUGGAAGUUGGUUUCUUAUUUCUUUUCAAAAACAUAAAUUAAAUUAGGUUUAUUGAAUUUAAAUAUUCUUGGUCUGUGCUUUCUGUUUUUGAAGGCUGUGCCUUUUCUCUCCAUUCAUAGACUGUUUCCUGAAAUCUGGGAGUGUGAGGAGCUUAAAGGGAAACCCUGACUGAUGGGAGCUGGGAAGACAUCAUGUGAAUUCUCUCCUGUGCCUUUUCCAGACAAAUGGCCUUCCCUCCUGCUGGAUGGCCCUGGGGAAGGGCCUGAGUAGCCACAGCCACAAAGAUUCAGGCACCUGCAGGGCCUUCAAACACAGGCAAAUGCAUGGGGGAGGCUGUUUGGUGCAACAGGCACUGGAAUGGAAAAGGUCAACCCAGCUCCAACUUCUGACUCCAACAUUUCUUAUCUGAGUGUGUGACCUUGAACAAGGUACUUUGCCUCUUAGAACUUCCUUUUCUCCUUUUGUAAAAUGGGGUACUAUCCCUCCC
rnacentral:lncRNA from 10 species